rnacentral:rRNA from 1 species
UACGUAGGGUGCAAGCGUUGUCCGGAAUUAUUGGGCGUAAAGAGCUCGUAGGCGGUCUGUCGCGUCGGCUGUGAAAACCCGGGGCUCAACCCCGGGCCUGCAGUCGAUACGGGCAGACUAGAGUGUGGUAGGGGAGACUGGAAUUCCUGGUGUAGCGGUGAAAUGCGCAGAUAUCAGGAGGAACACCGGUGGCGAAGGCGCCACUCUGGGCCGAAACUGACGCUGAGGAGCGAAAGCAUGGGUAGCAAACAGG